AAACAGCUUGUAUUUUUUACUCAAGAAGGAAAAUUUACAACAGGUUAUGGGCCCAGGAGUACUCAAAAUGAAAAGACAUUUUUGAAUAAAUAAAGUGAAAAAAAAAUACAUAAAAACAAAGAUGAGUUCUACUAUGCAUAAUACUGAAAAAUUAGAUGACGAAAAUUACGACUCAUGGAGCUUUUCAAUGAAGGCGGUGCACAUCCAUCAGGGAUACCGGAAUAUAGCGAGUGGUGUACAUAUAAAGCCAACAACAGCAGAUGAGACAUGGAACACCAAAGACGAGAAGGCGAUGGCGUCAAUCAUUUUAAGUGUUAGAGAUGCUACAACUGUGGUCCGUCAAACAACAACAACGUAUUCAACGCAGGCGUAUGGUGCGUGGACAGCGGAGCCAUUUGUGUUGCGAGCGUAGUUUAUUUGAAACAUAUCAAGAGCACAAAAACACAAUUUCAUUGUCUGGUGAGAACAAAAUUUCUGCAGGAGGAAAGGGGACUGUGCGAAUAGCUGAGUGCAACGUGCUGCUGACUGAUGUGUUGUUUGUUCCCGAACUUCAACGUAACUGUAUCUCUGUAGGUAAAGUGUCAGCAAAAGACAAAGUACAAUUGUUGUUGGCUGUUGGGUGGCUUAUUUUUAGAUGGUUCGAUGAGAGAGUGCGUACUUUACGGACAAUGUCACUUAAAGUCACUUAAAUGGCAUUAUCGGUAUGGUCAUUUGAAUGUGGCAAGUUUAAAGAGACUAUAAGAGAAAAAAAAUAAAAUGCGUAGUUUGUAUGAAGACAAAUCUACAACAAAACCAUUCGGAGAACAGAGCGUCGCAUUUAAUAUAUUUAUGUGGUCCAAUAAAAAAGAGUCAAUUGGUGGUGCUCUUUACAUUCUGACUUUUAUUGCAAUUGGCCAAGAUUUGUUCACACUUACUUUUUAAAAAGAAAGGACCAGACAUUGCAGUACUUUAAAGAGUAUAAGUUACUUUCACAGUAACGUUACGAUUCGCAUCAUAUAUGAAGAAGAUGCCACCAGCGCAUAAACCGCACCAAACUGGUAGCUCUUGCAAUGCUUCUGACUAAUAUCCACUCCAAAAUCGACAAUUCUGCUUAUUUACGUACCUAUUGAACCAAAAAUAACUUAGUCGCUGAACACAAUUUGAACACGAUGAACUUUCUUAGCAGAGCACACAUUUUGAUAAUAAAAUUCAAUCAUUUGCAAGCGUUGUUCGUUUGUAAGACGAUUCUUGGUUAAAUUAUAGACCAAACUGAAGAUGUUUGACAGUGUUGCCAAAAAUCUGUCAUUACACAAAAACACAUGCAUUGGGAAAAAGUACAGCUAAUACACAGGGUUGUCGAGCGUGGUUAAUGUGGUAAUUAUAUCAUAGAGGCGUCUUCGCCAAUAAAACGAUUCAACUACAGCAUACCAACUAACGGCCCUUGAAGCCAUCACACCUAGUAUAGUUGAAAAGUCUUCUAAUCAAAGACGAAACGGGUUCCAUAGGCGUGCGUUGCAAUUGUAAACAAAAUCUCCGAUCAUUGAGCUUGGCUCGAAAGGGAAACAAACAAAAAUUAAUUUUUUUAUUGAAAAUUGUCUAAAUUCCAAUUACGAUCGUGAUUGAAAAAUAAAUGCGGAUUCAAUUAAAAAAUUAUUGAUUCAAUUAAUUUUUGAUUAACAAAAUUAUUGUGAUAUUUUUGUCUGUGUAGUGUAACUGUAAAUAAGUGUUUAAUAUAGUAAUACUGUUACAAAAAUGUGCUUAAAUUAGUUAUCAAGCCAUUUUUUUCGCCUUUUGUUUCUAUUUUAUGUGCAAAAGCAAAAAAUGGUAAAGCAUCGAGAAUAAAACUAAUGCUUGGUUGCUGUUUGAAGCGUUUAAAAAUA